CAGCAUCCGGCCCCACCACCCCUGUGCAGAACAAACCUCUCUCCCUCCAUCCAUCGUUGGGCUCGUGGGCAGGCAUAGGAAGGGUAAAGGGUGCUCACUUGGGGCUGCCAAGGUCCCACCAACCAGCAAAGAGAAUGGCAUGUUUGUCACAAUGGGCUUUGGGGCCAGAUUCCGAGCCCAUUCUCUGUCUCCUACUCCUGCUCAACCCAGAGAUUUUUUUCCCCCAGAGAUGAUCUUCUGGCGAAGGGGGGUACAUAAUGUCAAAGGGACUCUGAUCACUCUUUAAUCACUCACAGUAACAACAGGAGAUACUGCUAAUUUGAAAGAAGAAAGGAAAGCUGGAGCAAAGAGCGUGGUCUAUCCCCAUCCGGCCCAGCACUUCAUUCUGAGCAAUCUGAUCUGGGAUCUUCCGAUUCCUUCACAAGAGCCUGCCACAUCCUGGCAGCCAGACUGCAAGUCUCGUGGGAGCCUGGACCCUGCAUGCCCACAGUGCACAGCAUGCAGCACGUACCACGCACAUGCACGGAGCACUGUUCCAGCCCAGAAUGUUAAACUGCACCAAAUCCCAUAGGCGGACACAAGGAAGGCACAAAACAAAUGCACCACAAAUUCUGGCUUGUUGGAGAUUGGGAACCAGCGUGAGAAAGGGGGUGUGUGAAAGAGGUUUUGACUCAGCGGUGCUCUCAUGCUGUUAUCCCUGCCAAGAACACUUGUCCUGGCUCUCCAGCUCCAGCUCAUCCUUCAGGUCUUCAGCUUAGGCCCUCCACCCUCUGAGCAGGUCACCCCUCUCCCAUCUCAAUCCACAUGGUUUAAGGAGAGCUGAUCCCAUGCCAGCUUCCGGGAUGCACCCAGAACCCAGACCUGACACCAUGAAUUUCAGCCUGACGGCCAAUGUGGCUGCUCCUAGGUCAGUACCAAGGGACAGGUCAUCCUGAAGUCAGCAAAGCUGAGCCUGUGAGCCUCUCACUUGCACGGACCCUAGCAACGUGUUCACAUGGUCAUUCUGUUUCCAGACACUCUCAAAAUGAGCUAUUUUAACCUCAAUUGGUUACAAACACUGUCUCUUUCCAUUCUGACUUCCAUAGGCCCUCUUGUGUCAUGUGAUGUCAGAGUGAACACAGGUAUUUCUGGAAUUGAGCUAAGGGAAAAGAUGAGUUGGCAGUAUAGUUAUUUAUGUUUAGCAGAAUAGACCUAUCAUCUGGUUCAAAGUUAUAAAAGAAUUACAUAAAAAUAGAUUAAUGUUUAGCAAAAUAGACCUAUCAUCUGGUUCAAAGUUAUAAAAGAAUGGCAUGAAACAUAGGUUAAUAAAAGGAUCCUAUAUUCUUCUUAAAGAUGGCCCCAAAACUGGAUCAACUUCAGGUGCCACACAACCUAGAUCCACCUGGGCCAGUAAAGUGAGACCCAAACUUUUGCAAGAAGUAGUGAGACUUUGCAUGGGGGGCAGGAGGCUCUUUCACUUGAGGUGGCUGAGCUCAUAGGAUGUGAGCGCCCAGAGCUGGGUAGCCACCCUUGCCAUCUUAGUGGGAGAGACCAACACAGGGACAUAGGGAGAGGUGACGGAGAGUCAGGGAGAGAGGGAGGGAGCAGGAGAGGAAGCGAAUGUGUGUGUGGAUGACGUGGUUUGAGCUCCUGGAUCCAGCUGGCCCCUUUUAGGCAAGAUCCACCCUAGAUUUUUCAAUAUUGUCAGCCAAAGCUUCAGUGAAUUUCUAUUGAGUGUCUAAAAGAACCUAAAGCAUCCCAACUUAACUCUGAUCCCCUGCUUAUCAGGAAAAAACCACCACCACCAAAAGAGACAUGCAGGAUUCUCCAAAGCAGUUUCUGGCACUUUCCACUGCUGUUCCCUGACCUCCAGACUCCGUGUCCAACUGUCUGUCUACUUGGCAGCUCUACUUGGAUGUCCAACAGCCAUCUGGAGCCCACCAUGCCCCCCAACAAGCAGCCCUCACCAUCACCUGGCCAAAGCUCCGCCUCAGAGGUGACCCCACCCUGGGGCACCUGGGUGGCUCAGUGAUUGAGCAUCUGCCUUCGGCUCAGGGUGUGAUCCUGGGGUCCUGGGAUGGAGUCCCACAUGGGGCUCCCUGCAGGGAGCCUGCUUCUCUCUCUGCCUGUG